rnacentral:rRNA from 1 species
AGAGUUUGAUCCUGGCUCAGAACGUACGCUGGCGGCACGCCUAACACAUGCAAGUCGAACGAAGUAGCAAUACUUAGUGGCAGACGGGUGAGUAACAUGUAGGUAUCUGCCCUUUGGCCUGGAAUAACACGAGGAAACUUGUGCUAAUACCGGAUAAGUCUUUACGGAGAAAGCUUUAUGCACCAAUGGAUGAGCCUGCAUUUGAUUAGUUUGUUGGUGGGGUAAUGGCCUACCAAGACUGUGAUCAAUAGCUGAUUUGAGAGGAUGAUCAGCCGCAUUGGGACUGAGACACGGCCCAAACUCCUACGGGAGGCAGCAGUGGGGAAUCUUGCACAAUGGAGGAAACUCUGAUGCAGCGAUGCCGCGUGAGUGAAGAAGGCCUUUGGGUUGUAAAGCUCUUUCGUCGGGGAAGAAAAUGACUGUACCCGAAUAAGAAGGUCCGGCUAACUUCGUGCCAGCAGCCGCGGUAAUACGAAGGGACCUAGCAUAGUUCGGAAUUACUGGGCUUAAAGAGUUCGUAGGUGGUUGAAAAAGUUGGUGGUGAAAUCCCAGAGCUUAACUCUGGAACUGCCAUCAAAACUUUUCAGCUAGAGUUUGAUAGAGGAAAGCAGAAUUUCUAGUGUAGAGGUGAAAUUCGUAGAUAUUAGAAAGAAUACCAAUUGCGAAGGCAGCUUUCUGGAUCAUUACUGACACUGAGGAACGAAAGCAUGGGUAGCGAAGAGGAUUAGAUACCCUCGUAGUCCAUGCCGUAAACGAUGUGUGUUAGACGUUGGAAAUUUAUUUUCAGUGUCGCAGCGAAAGCGAUAAACACACCGCCUGGGGAGUACGACCGCAAGGUUAAAACUCAAAUGAAUUGACGGGGACCCGCACAAGUAGUGGAGCAUGUGGUUUAAUUCGAAGAUACGCGCAGAACCUUACCAACACUUGACAUGUUCGUCGCGACUUUAAGAGAUUAAAGUUUUCGGUUCGGCCGGACGAAACACAGGUGCUGCAUGGCUGUCGUCAGCUCGUGUCGUGAGAUGUUGGGUUAAGUCCCGCAACGAGCGCAACCCUCACUUUUAGUUGCCAUCAUUAAGUUGGGCACUCUGAAAGAACUGCCAGUGAUAAGCUGGAGGAAGGUGGGGAUGACGUCAAGUCCUCAUGGCCCUUACGUGUUGGGCUACACACGUGCUACAAUGGUAUCUACAACAGGAAGCAAGACUGCGAGGUCAAGCAAAUCCUCAAAAGAUACCUCAGUUCGGAUUGCACUCUGCAACUCGAGUGCAUGAAGCUGGAAUUACUAGUAAUCGUGGAUCAGCGUGCCACGGUGAAUGCGUUCCCGGGUCUUGUACACACCGCCCGU